rnacentral:rRNA from 1 species
UACAGAGGUCUCAAGCGUUGUUCGGAUUCAUUGGGCGUAAAGGGUGCGUAGGUGGCGCUGUAAGUCGGGUGUGAAAUUUCGGAGCUUAACUCCGAAACUGCAUUCGAUACUGCGGGUCUCGAGUCCGGGAGAGGUGAGUGGAAUUCCUAGUGUAGAGGUGAAAUUCGUAGAUAUUAGGAAGAACACCAGUGGCGAAGGCGGCUCACUGGCCCGGUACUGACGCUGAGGUGCGAAAGCGUGGGGAGCAAACAGG